rnacentral:lncRNA from 1 species
GGGAUGGGAGGGGCAGCAGCCCUCUUCCGGGGGGGAGGGGCGGCGAGGCGAGGCCUGCGGAGCGGAGGAAGACAAACAUAAAGAUGAAGUGCUUAAUUCAAGGUCACACAAUGUCGGGGAUGGACCUCCAGAUUUCCUUACUGGUGAGACGUGGUCUUGUAACACAGUGGUUAAGAAUGUGACUUUGGAGCCAGCCUGCUAGGGGCUGAAUUCUGACUCAGCCAUUUACUAACUGUGUGACCUUAGGGAGGAGGACCUGGUUGAUAGAAGAAUUUAUCUCGUAGUCUUAACAUCCACUGUAAUUCCAAACUUUGAGGACGAUAGAGAUCAGUGGGCUUUGACUGCCCAGCAUGCAGUCUCCAUUCUUAGGUGGGUUCCCAAGCCUGUAAAAUGUAAGCCUUAUGCUGCUGAGGGCCAUCUUGCCACCCUGAGGGAAACGCUGCCUGAGAAUGAAACAAGCAUAAGUAAAAGCUGAGCUGUGAGAUGGAGCAAGAUGAAGGCCACAUGACAUCUUUGGAGCACCUGGAUCUAACUGUGCCUUAAGCUAGUCUAACCCUGAACAUUUCAUCAUUUCAUUGACAUGAGCCCAGGUUUUCUUUUUUUUUGGAUGGAGUCUUGCUCUGUCGCCCAGGCUGGAGUGCAGUAGCUCAAUCUCGGCUCACUGCAAGCUCCACCUCCCGGGUUCACGCCAUUCUCCUGCCUUAGCCUCCCAAGUAGCUGGGACAACAGGCGCCCACCACCACUCCCAGCUAAUUUUUUGUAUUUUUAGUAGAGACGGGGUUUUACCAUGUUAGCCGGGAUGGUCUUGAUCUCCUGACCUCAUGAUCCGCCCGCCUCGGCCUCCCAAAGUGCUGGGAUUACAGGUGUGAGCCACUGCACCCAGCCCUCAGGUUUUCCCUUUUUUUACCCCUCCUUUUGAAAAUUUGAUGUGGAAUUUUGCCACCUGCAGCCAGAAGAGUUUUAACUAAUCAGUGCCAUAAAUUUUAUAUAGUUCUCCUUGCAAAAUGUGGAUCAGCCUUUCUCAGCAAAUCCUUUGUCAUAAAGUGCUGAAUUGUAAGUUUGUCAUGAGAAUCACAUGAGAUCAUGCAUGUGAAGAACCUGGCAUUAUCCUCCUCAUAGAAAAAAACCAGUAAAUAUUAACUACAGGAAGCAAGGAAGGAGUGGGGUGAGGGGAAGAAGAAGGGGUACUGAUUUAAAAGAACCCUGGAGUCCUAAGGAUAAUCUAGGAACCCUCAGACCCAAUCCGAUACCCCUAUUCUAAAUGCUCCUAGUGCCCUGUACCUUCCCCUCAUAAGCCUUCAUUAUCAUUGUAAUGAUAUGUUUAUGUAAUAUUUUGAUUAAUGUCUCUCCUUCACUGACCUAGCAGUUCUAGCAGGGCAGUGAUUUUGCUGUGUUGCAUCCCCAGCACCUAGUCUGGUAUGUGGCAUUCAGCAUAUGUUUAUUGAAUGAAUGGCCAUGUGGUUAUUCAGAUCCUCCUUGAUUAUUGGGGUUAGGAUUGUGGCAGAAGUGGCAAAAUCAGGGAGAGUAGUCCCUGUCCCCUCUGUAUCUUAUACACUGCCCACACUCCCAACACACAUACACAUACAGAGAAUUUUGUCUCAAUUAGAUAAUUAACUUCUGCUUGGUUGUAAACCAAACCACUGGUUCUUAAACUUUCAUUGGAUCAUUUUAUUGAAGAAUUAAAUAGUGUGGUUCUGGCCUAAUGUCUGGAAAGCCUUGCAGAGGAGUGGAUUAGGUCUUUGUGAUAAACAGGCAGCCUUCCCUGCUCCUGUGUCUUUAUAAAAUCUAUUUAACUGGAGUAGUCCACCCUCCCUCAGGCUCUUACAGGAAUAUGUUGGAGGCUGUAGGAAGGUGGGAAACCGAGAGGGAAAGGACUGGGCCGCUGGAGACUUCACUCAUUCCCUAGCAAGAAACAAAAGCAGUAAAAGGUGGCCCGAGGACAACCUGAAGCUCACUCCUUCAGCACUUUUGGCUGGAGGUCACUUGUUGGAGCCCCACUCAGAGCUCAGCACACCACCCCACCAGCAGCCUCCUCCUCCCAGCUGAGGCUGCAUUUCAUCCCUUCCCCCAGCCUGCUUUCCCUGAGAUAGGGGAGUGUUUCCCAGGGCCCAUGUGACUUCCACUGGCAAGUGACGAUUACCAAUGGUUUACUAGUCAGUGAAACUACCAAAGGCUUUUGUGCUGUAGUAAUCCUUUUCCUGUUUAAAACUCUGGGGAUUUUCUAAUGUUGCCAAUAGUUUUUCAAGUCAGCAAUUACUGUGUGGAUUAUGUAAUGGCUCGGUAUUAAAAAUAGAAAAGACUGGA